rnacentral:rRNA from 1 species
GACGAACGCUGGCGGUAUGCCUAACACAUGCAAGUCGUACGAGAUCUCUUUUUUUUCGGAAAAGGAAGAUUGCAGUGGCGGACGGGUGAGUAACGCGUAAGAACUUACCUUUUGGUGGGGGAUAACAGUGGGAAACUGCUGCUAAUACCCCAUAAUGCUGAGGAGCUAAAAGUGAAAACUGCCAAGAGAGAGGCUUGCGUCUGAUUAGCUUGUUGGUGGGGUAAAGGCCCACCAAGGCGACGAUCAGUAGCUGGUCUGAGAGGAUGAUCAGCCACACUGGGACUGAGACACGGCCCAGACUCCUACGGGAGGCAGCAGUGGGGAAUUUUCCACAAUGGGCGAAAGCCUGAUGGAGCAAUACCGCGUGGAGGAAGAAGGAUCGUGGUUCGUAAACUCCUUUUCUUAGAGAAGAAUAAAUG